AUUGAACGCUGGCGGCAGGCCUAACACAUGCAAGUCGAACGAGUGGCGGACGGGUGAGUAAUGUCUGGGAAACUGCCCGAUGGAGGGGGAUAACUACUGGAAACGGUAGCUAAUACCGCAUACCAUCGGAUGUGCCCAGAUGGGAUUAGCUUGUGGGUGGGGUAACGGCUCACCUAGGCGACGAUCCCUAGCUGGUCUGAGAGGAUGACCAGCCACACUGGGACUGAGACACGGUCCAGACUCCUACGGGAGGCAGCAGUGGGGAAUUUUGGACAAUGGGGGCAACCCUGAUCCAGCCAUCCCGCGUGUGUGAUGAAGGCCUUCGGGUUGUAAAGCACUUUUGGCAGGAAAGCGGUACCUGCAGAAUAAGCACCGGCUAACUACGUGCCAGCAGCCGCGGUAAUAC
rnacentral:rRNA from 1 species